UUACUAAGACUCCAACUGGCCGUCCGUCUGUCUGUCUGUCUGUCACCAGGCGAGAUACAGCCAAGUGACAUGAACCUUGAUAGCUAACAGACAGUUGAAAUUUUGACAGAUGGUGUAUUCCUGUUGCCGCCAUAACAAUAAAUACUAAGAACAGAAUAAAAUAAAUAUUUAAGUGGGGCUCCCACGCAACAGACGUGAUUUUUUUUGCCGUUUUUUGCGUAAUAAUGGUACGGAACCCUUCGUGCGCGAGUCCGACUCACAGUUGUCCGGUUUUUGUUAACUUACUUUAACGUUAACUUACUUUAACUAGGGAAGUAGGCGCUAAAUGAAAUGGUUAUUUAAUAGUUAGCACCUGUGGAACGUUUUCGCAAUAGCCAAGUUUUAAUAACGUUAAAUUACAAUGUGAAUUGAUUGAUGGACCAUUUACUCAUCCAACUGGCAGUGUAAUGACAGUAAUGAUAUGUUUGACGUGCAGGCUGCAGUGACACUGCAGUUAUCUCGCCACAAACGUCUUGUCAGCUCAUUGUUAAAGUCUUUAAAUUGAUGCCUAGGGACUUGUUUUUCUUUAUAACAAUUUCUGCUAUUUUCAGGUCUUCCGUCUAUUUUAAUUACAGUUAAAUGGAUCAUAAAUUAGAAGUAUAUUUAUAUAAUUAUACAGGUUUUAAUGUCAAUCAUGUAUACACGUAACUAAAGAUUACGAGAUUCGAAAGGAUAAAAACAAAUAUAAAUAGUUAUGAAUAAUGUAUUAAUUUGAUGUUGAUUUUUAUAGUAGCUAGUUGUUAAUUAAACUCGCCAUCAGAUAUAUCGGAGCGGCCAAGGUGUUCACAGUCAAGGCAACUCGUCUCUGGGACGAUUUCCCUUUACGAUAGACACAGAGCAUGCAGAACAAAUAUUCCUUCAAACGCGCAAAGUACGUUAUUUUCGUCACAAGUUUUUAAUAGUAGUUUAUGUGACUGCUACAUAAUAAAUGGCAUUAAAAUACACGAGUGUGGGUUUAAGAAACGAACGAAGUGAGUUUCUUAAAAAGAUCACACGAGUGUUUUAAUGCCUAAUUAUGUACAGUUACAUACGCUAUUUUAUCUACACACAACUUUCUAUGAAAUAUUCACUAACCCAAAUUACAGCCUCCGUUGCCCCAGCAUCGUUGCCAAAUCGUUGCUCUCUUAGCGGAACUCGCGGAUAUGUGGUGGCGUCACCGAAAUAUUUUUAUCGCUUAUUUUACACGAAUAGGUAUAGUACCGGUAUAGUUACCUUAAAAACAACAAAACAUAUUCAGUUUAUACUUAAAACUAAUUAAACGAUAAACUGUACGCCAAAUGGCGGUAAAUGAAAACUUUUUUCACGCAUGUAGUUUUUUUUUUUAAUUCACAACUAGAGGGCCUAUUUCCGUAUCAUUUGACACAAACUAAUAUGCGAGAUAUGUCAAAAUUGUGUGCAAUUGGCAUUUCAUUUUGAACAAAAAGGCAUCUCGACAGAUAUUGGAAUAGAGGUCAAAUCGAAUUGUUUUUUUUUUCAGAGAUGUUUCAAAUAUGAAUGCAUAACCAAAUCGAUUUUGAUGUAGUUAUGAAGCAAUAACAAUAUUAUCACAGAUAAGAAAUUUGUUGUAACAAAACAGUUUAUCGUAAUGUUGGCCAUUAUUUACGGAUUUUGAAGGCAUCAUAGAGGGUUUAUGAUAUGUGUGUCGAUAAAAUACAUAAUACAUAUGCUUACGCUAUUUUGUUAUGAUUGGAUAACGGUGAUAAAAUUUAUUUAUUUAUUGUUGUGGAUUUAUGAUAAAUUAUUCUGAGAGUAU